UGGGGAAUUUUGGACAAUGGGCGAAAGCCUGAUCCAGCAAUGCCGCGUGUGUGAAGAAGGCCUUCGGGUUGUAAAGCACUUUUGUCCGGAAAGAAAUCCUUGGCUCUAAUACAGUCGGGGGAUGACGGUACCGGAAGAAUAAGCACCGGCUAACUACGUGCCAGCAGCCGCGGUAAUACGUAGGGUGCAAGCGUUAAUCGGAAUUACUGGGCGUAAAGCGUGCGCAGGCGGUUUGCUAAGACCGAUGUGAAAUCCCCGGGCUCAACCUGGGAACUGCAUUGGUGACUGGCAGGCUAGAGUAUGGCAGAGGGGGGUAGAAUUCCACGUGUAGCAGUGAAAUGCGUAGAGAUGUGGAGGAAUACCGAUGGCGAAGGCAGCCCCCUGGGCCAAUACUGACGCUCAUGCACGAAAGCGUGGGGAGCAAACAGGAUUAGAUACCCUGGUAGUCCACGCCCUAAACGAUGUCAACUAGUUGUUGGGGAUUCAUUUCCUUAGUAACGUAGCUAAUGCGUGAAGUUGACCGCCUGGGGAGUACGGUCGCAAGAUUAAAACUCAAAUGAAUUGAC
rnacentral:rRNA from 1 species